AUUGAACGCUGGCGGCAGGCCUAACACAUGCAAGUCGAGCGGUUGAGGUAGCUUGCUACCGAUACAGCGGCGGACGGGUGAGUAAUACAUGGGAAUCUGCCUGGUAGUGGGGGACAACGUUUCGAAAGGAACGCUAAUACCGCAUACGCCCUACGGGGGACAGGGGGGGAUCUUCGGACCUCUCGCUAUCAGACGAGCCCAUGUCAGAUUAGCUUGUUGGUGAGGUAAAGGCUCACCAAGGCGACGAUCUGUAACUGGUCUGAGAGGAUGAUCAGUCACACUGGAACUGAGACACGGUCCAGACUCCUACGGGAGGCAGCAGUGGGGAAUAUUGGACAAUGGGCGCAAGCCUGAUCCAGCCAUGCCGCGUGUGUGAGGAAGGCCUUAGGGUUGUAAAGCACUUUCAGUGGGGAGAAAGGCCUUUUACUUAAUACGUAAGGGGAUUGAUGUUACCCACAGAAGAAGCACCGGCUAACUCCGUGCCAGCCGCCGCCGUAA
rnacentral:rRNA from 1 species